GCUUGUCUCAAAGAUUAAGCCAUGCAUGUCUCAGUAUAAGCUUUUACACGGCGAAACUGCGAAUGGCUCAUUAAAACAGUUAUCGUUUCUUUGGUGGUUAUUGAUUACAUGGAUAACCGUGGUAAUUCUAGAGCUAAUACAUGCGCCCAGACCCAACUUUUAGGAAGGGUUGUAUUUAUUAGGUACAGAACCAAUGCAAGCUCCGCUUGACCUUUUGGUGAUUCAUGGUAACCGAACGAAUCGCACGGCACCAGCUGGCGAUGGACCAUUUCAAUUUCUGACCUAUCAGCUUUCGACGGUAGUGUAGUGGACUACCGUGGCGCUAACGGGUGACGGAGAAUUAGGGUUCGGUUCCGGAGAGGGAGCCUGAGAAACGGCUACCACAUCCAAGGAAGGCAGCAGG
rnacentral:rRNA from 1 species